ACUGGGAAACGUCGUCGGCCGU
rnacentral:miRNA from 1 species